rfam:Pan troglodytes isolate Yerkes chimp pedigree #C0471 (Clint) chromosome 4, whole genome shotgun sequence.
UUUUUAGUAUAACUAUGUUCCAUGCAAUAUUUGGGAAAUACUCAUACUAAAA